AUUGAACGCUGGCGGCAGGCCUAACACAUGCAAGUCGAACGGUAACAGGAAGCAGCUUGCUGCUUCGCUGACGAGUGGCGGACGGGUGAGUAAUGUCUGGGAAACUGCCUGAUGGAGGGGGAUAACUACUGGAAACGGUAGCUAAUACCGCAUAACGUCGCAAGACCAAAGAGGGGGACCUUAGGGCCUCUUGCCAUCGGAUGUGCCCAGAUGGGAUUAGCUAGUAGGUGGGGUAACGGCUCACCUAGGCGACGAUCCCUAGCUGGUCUGAGAGGAUGACCAGCCACACUGGAACUGAGACACGGUCCAGACUCCUACGGGAGGCAGCAGUGGGGAAUAUUGCACAAUGGGCGCAAGCCUUAUGCAGCCAUGCCGCGUGUAUGAAGAAGGCCUUCGGGUUGUAAAGUACUUUCAGCGGGGAGGAAGGGAGUAAAGUUAAUACCUUUGCUCAUUGACGUUACCCGCAGAAGAAGCACCGGCUAACUCCGUG
rnacentral:rRNA from 1 species